CGUGUAGGCGGUUGGAUAAGUCGAGUGUGAAAUUCUGGGGCUUAACCCCAGCGCUGCAUUCGAAACUAUCUGGCUAGAGGAUAGGUGGAGAAAACGGAAUUCCACGUGUAGCGGUAAAAUGCGUAGAUAUGUGGAAGAACACCGGUGGCGAAGGCGGUUUUCUAACUUACACCUGACGCUGAGACGCGAAAGCAAGGGGAGCAAACA
rnacentral:rRNA from 1 species